GCAGAUGUCCCUAGGGGAGCCCGAGACUGGGAAGCUCCUGUGGCCCGAGGCGGCUGCCCGGACUGGCUGGACCUGCCCCGCGCCCGCUACCCGGAGGAGCUGCCAGGGCUGCCCCACGCCCGCUACCCAGAGGAGCUGCUGGACCUACCCUGUGCCAGUUAUCCAGAGGAGUUGCCGGACCUGCCGACCAACCCCUGCCCUGACAAGCCCAUGCUCCUGGGCCCUCCCGAGGCCAACGCCAGGACCCAGAGGGUCAAUACUCCAAAUUGACUGAAGUCUACCCAACCAGCUAGAGGAAAACUGAAGCACAUCAGCAUCAAAUGUUGAAAGCAGAUGGAGUUAUUUCUCAUGUAGUAUUACAGUAAUGACCAACAUGACACAGAAGGAAAAUUCUGCGACAAUAUGUUAG